rnacentral:rRNA from 1 species
UACGUAGGGGGCAAGCGUUGUCCGGAAUUAUUGGGCGUAAAGCGCGCGCAGGCGGUUCAUUAAGUCUGGUGUUUAAGGCUGCGGCUCAACCGCAGUUCGCACUGGAAACUGGUGAACUUGAGUGUAGGAGAGGAAAGUGGAAUUCCACGUGUAGCGGUGAAAUGCGUAGAGAUGUGGAGGAACACCAGUGGCGAAGGCGACUUUCUGGCCUAUAACUGACGCUGAGGCGCGAAAGCGUGGGGAGCAAACAGG